AAAAAGUCACUUUAGUGGAGUUUACCAAUGUAGGUUGUCUUCUGGUUUCUAUUUCUCCUGAUUUAUUUUCCUUUAGUGAGAAUCUCUAUCUUUUGGCCACGAAAUGACUACUCAGAAUAAAGUCUAUGUGGUUUAGUCUCCCUUGGUGUAGACCAGACCCAUUACUUGCUCCUAAACAACAGAAUAUGGCAAAGGCAAUGGCACGUCGGUCCCAUGAUUAUGUGACGUUAUAUGACUGUGUCUUGCUAGCUGACUGGCUCCACAGACGUUCUGUCUCCCUUGCUGGCUGUGAAGAGGCAAGCUGCCAGAACUCCUAAAGCCACAUGGAACUCAUUGCUGCCAAAAGGAAUUGGGAAGCAAAUCCUUCCCUAGCUGAGCCUCCAGUGAAGAGCCAGUCCUGGCCAACAUCUUGAAUGUAGCCUUGUAAGACCUUCUGCAGAGGACCAAGCUAUGCCGUGCCCAGAUGUGUGACCUGCAGAAAUGCUGAGCUAUUUGCGGAACAGGAAUUCAGAGAUUUAAAGCGUAAGAUGUGCCGUUGCUGGCUUGAAGUUGGAGGGGACCAUACAUCAAGGAAAUGAGGACUUAAAUCCUACAACUUCAAAGAACCGAAUUCUGUCAACAAGAGUGAACCUGGAAGCUGAUUCUUCCCUCCAAUGAGAAUUCAGCCCAGCUGACACCUUUAUUUCCACCUUAUGAUACCUUGAGAAGAAUCCCUGCCCCACCAUGCUGAAAUUUGAUCCACAAAAUUGUGAGCUGAUAAACGGAUGUUGUUUUAAGCAGCUAAGUUGUGGUAAUGUGCCACACAGCAAUAGAAGACUAACAUACAUGGUUAUUUGUAUUAUUGUAGCUAUUUCGUUUGCAUAUUUUAUAAAUAUUCUUUAGUUUGGUUUUAUUAUCUAAUAAACUUUUUCUUAAAAAAGA